UUUGAGUUUGAAGACAUAGAAAGACUAGAAAGUGGGGAGGGUGGGAUGCAAAGUGUGUAUUGCUCUUCCAGAGAAGUUGAAUUCAGUUUCUAGCACUCACAUCAGGCCUCUUACAACUCUUAACUCCUGCAACUGAGGAGCCAACAUUUCACACAGGCAUAUAAAUAUAAACAGUAAUUUUUAAAAAAAAUUCUUUUUUUAAACCAAGGAAGUAACUUGAACAGAGAAAAAACUUUAAAGGAAUUAAUGACAAAGAAGAAGACCAAGCAAGAACUCAAGUAAAGAAGACAUGUUGAAAGCUAUAUCUAGAUGCUGGGAAUGUAGCUAGGUCAUCUUAACACUGAGGAAAUCCUGGACUCCAUUUGUAGCACCAGAUAAAACCAGGUCACCUUCUCAGCUACCUACUGAAUUCAAGGUCAGUCUACAUGAGACCCUAUCUUUAAAAGAAAGAAAAAAGAAAAUUGCAAAAGGAAGGAAACGAGAAGGUGAUUAAAAUCUGUGUUUUGGGCUGGAGAGAUGGAUCAACAUGUUGGAAGAGUGCUGCUUGUUCUUCCAGAGGACCUGAGUUUGAUUCCCAGCACCUACAUCAGGUGGGUUACCACCACUUGUAAUGCCAGGGAUCAAUUUCUCCCUCUUCUGACCCCAUGGACUCCUGUACACGUAUGGUAUUCAUUCACUCACGCACACAGAUAUACCACGUUAAAAAAAAAUCUUUAAAACUUCCAAAUAAAUGAAUAAACAAAUGAAUAAAACUCAAGUGUUUCUGUUUUUCUUCUGACAGUCAGAUAUGACCAGAAGGAUGCCAAAGGUAACCAUGAGUGUUUUGAAACUGAUGAUUAAUAAGUUAAUAAUAGAUUAAAAUUGGUAUACACUGAGGAGUAAAACUUUUUUAUCCUCAAGUUUAUUGUCUUUGAGUUCCUGGGUGAUUUGUGAUAAAACAAGUCUAUUAAGCCAGAAAUGUUCUAAUUCUUUCUCUUCUUUUGGAGUAUGAACAAAUCCAAGUUUUAAAGUGGGGUAAUAUAAACAAAGCUAUUUUUUCCCAAGGCAUAAUUUUUUUUUUUAUUUUCUCCCUUCAUCUAGACUCUAUGCCUCCUAAUAAAUAGACAUUUCUGGACCUUUCCUAUGAACUUGAAGAUAGGGGUGUAAUGGGAGUGUUGACUUGAGUGUAUUUUUAAUUAACACAUUUUUUUCUAUGUGUUUACAGGCGGGGUGUGAGUGGGUUUGGUUGGAUUCUGGACAAGACUCUCAUGAUGACUCUGAGUUGAGCAAUGACUGCAGGUCCCUCCUCAGCUCUUGGGACUCCAGUCUGGAUCUUGAUGUGGGCAGCUGGAAGGACACCGAGGAUGCAGAGGCUGAGGCUGAUGAGCCCAAGGAAAGCAGCCCAGAGAGAGGAUGUAGCGAGCUUCUUGUGGGUGACGUAGAAAGUGAAGAAGCUCGGGAAGAGGCAGAACAAGGCACACCCCAGGAACUGCUCUCUGAGAUCGGAUCUGGCCACUGAGCCCCGGGAACUCCUGAGGUCCUUGAGCUUCAGCUUCCUAAGGCCUGGAACUUUCAGGGGGAGGCUCAGCAAGACUCAAAAGAGGAUGAUCAAGGUGAAGGGUCUGCUUCAGACGGAGAAGACACGCCCCCUUUAGGUGAGGGGGAAGGCAUCCGAGUUCAGGAAGCUCCCCUGGUGAAUAUCCUGUACAGCUCCUCACAACUGAAUGACCUAAGCCAAGGUGAUCCUAUUCAGGAUCAGUUCCUAUUUAAGAAGACUCUUUUGCAAGUCUGGAAGAUGAUUGCCAGUCACAGGUUUAGCAGCCCAUUUCUAAAACCCGUGUCAGAGAAGCAGGCUCCAGGAUACAAGGAUGUGGUGAAAAGCACUCACAGACUCAAGAUAUGGUCUACAGCCAAUGAAGCUCUGCCUCUACCUCUUGAGGACUAGAGUUAUAGACCCAUGGACUUAACGACCCUGAAGAGGAAUUUGUCUAAGGGACGCAUUCACACCAUGGCUGAAUUCCAGCGGGAUCUGAUGCUGAUGUUCCAAAAUGCCGUGAUGUACAACGACUCUGAUCAUCACAUAUACCACAUGGCUGUGGAGAUGCAGCGGGAAGUCUUGGAGCAGAUCCAGGUUCUGAGUACUUGGCUGGAUAAAAGGAAGGACUUGAGUAGUCUGGAAUGAGUGCCAGCUAAUGUGGUGGAUGAAGAAAGGGGACUUUGUUAGCCUGGAACUACAAGUCUGGUUCUUUCUCAAGUUACAGCUCUUCUUAGGACUGGCCAGAGACGAUGUGAAGACUUUCCCUCCCUCUCUCUCUAUUCCCUUUCCAAAUAAGGACAGUAAUGCCUUGCCUCCUAACUAAGAAGCCAAUGGUGCUUGCAGAUGGAAUAUUUUUUAAAGGGGUGGGGUGUGGUGGGGUGGGGUACCAAGAUCUGGAUUUAUGGUGUAAAUAUUGCUCAUAUUUUUGUUGCAUAGACUUAGAAGUAAUUUGAUUGAACCUUUGUUUCUCUAUAAAUAAAUAUUUCGCAAACU